UUUAAAAAAAAACAAGUGCUGCCCCCUUUUUCUCUGCUAGGGUUUUAUACCCUAUCUCAGUCGCCGCCGCCUUACCAACCCUCCGCCGCAACUCUGCAUGAUCGGAGACCGGAGGCGUGCCGAUUUGGGUUUUUAAACCCCUCUCAGCGGGCCCGAGGACAAAGGAAAUCGUGAAGAGCACGACGCGGGGGAGGCAGUUGGCCCCGAGACGUGCGGCGCCUGGGGAGUCUGAUGGAGGCGGGGCUUGCUGCGGCUAGGGUUUGGGUUGAAUUGUUUAGGGUUUCUGCUGAAAAUGUUGUGGGCUGCUUGUUGGGCUUGUAAAAAACUGAGUUGUGCCCCAUUGUUUAUUUCACACGGGCCCGGGCUAAUUUGGGCCUACUACAACAUGUAUAUAUACACGUACAUAUUUUUCAUAACUUCUUUAUAUAUAUGUGCAUAUGCACGCUUAUAUUUCUGUA